GACGAACGCUGGCGGCGUGCUUAAUACAUGCAAGUCAACUGAACUUGAGGUAGCAAUAUCACAAGAGAGGUGGCGCACGGGUGAGUAACACGUAGGUAAUCUGCCUUUAGGUCUGACAUAAUUCCGCGAAAGCGGGACUAAUAUCAGAUGAUGCAGCGGCUCGACAUCGAGACAGUUGUUAAACCUUCGGGGCCUAAAGAUGAGCCUGCGUCUGAUUAGGUAGUUGGCGGAGUAAAAGCCCACCAAGCCUGCGAUCAGUAGCUGGUCUGAGAGGAUGAUCAGCCACACUGGAACUGAGACACGGUCCAGACUCCUACGGGAGCAGCAGUAAGGAAUAUUGCU
rnacentral:rRNA from 1 species